UGGGGAAUAUUGCACAAUGGGCGCAAGCCUGAUGCAGCCAUGCCGCGUGUGUGAAGAAGGCCUUCGGGUUGUAAAGCACUUUCAGCGAGGAGGAAGGUGGUGAGCUUAAUACGCUCAUCAAUUGACGUUACUCGCAGAAGAAGCACCGGCUAACUCCGUGCCAGCAGCCGCGGUAAUACGGAGGGUGCAAGCGUUAAUCGGAAUUACUGGGCGUAAAGCGCACGCAGGCGGUUUGUUAAGUCAGAUGUGAAAUCCCCGGGCUCAACCUGGGAACUGCAUUUGAAACUGGCAAGCUAGAGUCUCGUAGAGGGGGGUAGAAUUCCAGGUGUAGCGGUGAAAUGCGUAGAGAUCUGGAGGAAUACCGGUGGCGAAGGCGGCCCCCCUGGACGAAGACUGACGCUCAGGUGCGAAAGCGUGGGGCAGCAAACAGGAUUAGAUACCCUGGUAGUCCACGCUGUAAACGAUGUCGAUUUGGAGGUUGUGCCCUUGAGGCGUGGCUUCCGGAGCUAACGCGUUAAAUCGACCGCCUGGGGAGUACGGCCGCAAGGUUAAAACUCAAAGGAAUUGC
rnacentral:rRNA from 1 species